GGUUUCGAUCUCGUUGGAGAUGGAGAGAGGUAGUCCGCCAGCAGCGGUGACAGCAGCGAAUCGCGACGUCGUCGACCAGGAGUGCCCUGUUUAGGUGAGAUGGCGCAGGAUCGUCAUCUAGUAGCGGUGGCGGCGAAUCGCGGCAGCGCUGGUCUGGGGCGCCGUAUUUGGGCGAGGCGGAGCAGGGUCGUCGACCAGUACGCCCGAUCUGGGUAGGUUUGGAUCAGCGUCAUCCAGCCAAGGCAGUGGCGACCACAACAUCUGAUUUGGGCAGAUCGAGCUAUAGCGUUACCCGGCAUGGCAGCGACUGACACGGACCAUGAGGCCAAGCUGCCAAUUUAAUCCAACGCCAUGGCUACGACUCAAGCUACCAGAUUGGAUUGUACAUUGCAGGGCAGAUGGGGUAGUGCUCGAUGCAAGUUCUCUCAGCAGACUGAAUGGGUGGUUCCCGUCUCAUGAGUAUUUGGCCGUGGUACUGAGGCCACAAUACAGAGGAACGAGCAUUUGAAAGAGCACGGUAUGGUUACCGUGAAAUCAUUCCCACCUUGAAACUGUUUGGGAGGUGCAUGUAUAUAUGCAAUGCUGAUUUUCAGAGAUGGUGGUUUUUUGGUGUGUCUCAAGUGAUCAGGCAGGGCGUCCUAAUGACAUUUGACAUGAUAUACAAGUGAAGAUCAAGAAGGGCAGAAUGAUCAAAUUUGCACUACACCAACAAUCACAUGUUGUUUUGUGCCUUGUGCUUUAUCACCUGGAACAAAACCAAAAUAGAGACUACCCUUGAUGACAACAAACCUAGCUUGCACCUUUUGAAGAUUUCGUUGAAUUUUGUGAGACGCUAGUUGCGGUCUUUUGGAUGUAUUCUUAGCUCAAAGAGACAGUUCAUGUAUAUUAUGUGUUCUCCAUGCCACUGUUAAUGUCACUUAGUCGUUGUAGGUUUGCUGUAGGUUUAGGGGGUGCAGCUAAGUUGCAGCUACUUGGUUGUACUCCAUAUUGUUAUUGUCCUGCAGAUCGCAGUU